UGGAUGAAGAUAGAGAAGUGGAGUUUGACACUAGGAUGUAUCAUUUUAGUGAACAUGUACCUCCAGCGAGGGAGAGCAAGAGCUUGAGUGAAGCUCACAGGAACAACAACAAGCUGCAGAAGUGGUGCAAGAAACAAGACAAGUUACUCGCCAAGUGCUUCAAGACCAUCAGUUUCUGACAGAUAAGCUGAGUUGUUCCCUCAAACUUCAAUUCCU
rfam:Arabidopsis thaliana chromosome 4, complete sequence.